GGACUAUUUUUUUUCCAAGUGACGGUUGGCAAACCCACUCUUUCCGUCAGAGAAAAAAAAAGGAAAUGAACGGAUAACCCCCGUAAUUCUUGGAUCGAAAGCGGCGAGCAGUUUCGGCGGCGACGGAGAGAGGUGUCGGCGGCGAGCUUGCGGUAGCUGCUGGUCGACCCCUGAUGAGUGCGGCACUGGGGGUGGAAGGUUGGCCGGAGGCAGCACCGAGGCGAGCUGUGCGGCAGGAGGCUUCGCGGCGGGUGACGGCCUCGCCCGCCGGCGGCCGCGUCGCAGUCCGCAUCGAUCCCCAGCCCCCUUCGUUGCUCGUGGCGAUGGCUCGAACUUCAUCUCCGAGCACCCGAGAUCCCCUGCUUCCAAGCCUGGUCUCUCCACUCCUCCCUCUUGUCUCCUUUCCAUCCUCGCUCACCCUGAUCGAUGUGCUUAAUUGCCUUGCAGGAAGGUCAUCGACUCGUAAGUCUACAAGCUGUCCCACGGCUGCCUUCAUUUCCACCCAGGUUAACUAAUUUGCAUGCAUAUUUUAGGUUACUCAAGAUCAACUGAGUGCACUAGGCAUCCGUAGUUGCAAAACGAUUCUGGAUUUUUGCUUGGUAAAUUUUCUGGAAUUACUAAUUUGUGCAUGUAUCGGUCAGCAAUCAAAAUCAUUUGUUGAUCGAGAAGUCCAAAAAUAGCAAGGUCCGUUCUCUUCAGUGAAUUUUUAACUUUGCUCCCUAUUGUAUAUAUAUUCACACGAGAAGCUGGUAUUUAAUUGGGAAAAAAAUCCUGGGAUUUUAAUUAGUAAUUUGCUGGUAUGGAAAGAUGGAUCUGUUAUUAAUAUACAUCAAGUAGUUCUUAUACGUUUCCUAUAGACAGUUCAUUGAUGAUAGGAACAUUGCGUGGAAAUUGAUUUUAUAAAUCAUUACAGAGAUAGCUAAUGAAACUAGAGUUGUACUCCGUAUUAGAACUGUUGCUCUUUAAGGUGUUUUGACUAUUGAGGUUUACUCUGGGUGUUGAAGUGCAACAAUUACUUCUCCCUGGAGGGUCUCUAUACCUUUGCAUGUUUGUAGUAUAUAAUAUCUGGUGUUCCUUCUUUUAAGUUUUUAAUUGUCAAAUUUCAUGUUGUUCUUGUUCUUGUUCCUGUUUUCUCUUUAUCCAAAUCUUCCUGGGAUUUAAAUCAGAAAGGAUGCUCAACGGGACUUGGUCACGCCGAGAUAUCAGCAACAAUCGACACCGACAAAGCUCAAUUAUCUAUUGCAUAUUCAGAAGAAAGCAACUCCUGUCGACAAUCAAGGCACUAUGACAGGUAGCUCAAGCCUAAGAUGCAAACAUCUCAAGGAAUGGAGUUGCUGACGGUAUGCAAAGAACGAGACAAUGGUGAUGGUCAGGAUCGAUGUGUCAAGCAUCUGAGACAUAUCGACGUCAAGACAUGGAAGAGGGCUCUCUACCCUUAUAGAUAGGCCUUCUUACCAUGCUGCAUUACUAACCUGCACAAUUAAUGUGUAUCGAAAUUAACUUUGGGAGAACAUUAAGCAUGCAAACAUAGCUGUGGAGAAUCCUUGGAACAUCUUACCUGCAAUGUUAACUUAAACCUUCUGGAUCAGCAAAUGCUUCAUCCUUCUCUUCAAAUGUAAAUUCUACUGCCCAGAACAAACCAGUUAAAGAGUUACGGGAA